UUUUUUUUUUUUUUUUUUUUUUAGUAGAGACGGGGUUUCACCGUGUUAGUCAGGAUGGUCUCGAUCUCCUGACCUCGUGAUCUGCCCGCCUUGGCCUCCCAAAGUGCUGGGAUUACAGGCGUGAGCCACCGCGCCCGGCCGCCACUUGUCCUUUUUUUCUGUCAGAUCCUGCCUCCCUGUUUCAGAGGGAAGAGUGCACUGUCAGUAACAAAAUGUUUUCUCCCUUGCGUCUCUUUUGCUACAGUUGGUAGAAAUUUCUCCUGGACUUCGUCGGUGACUAAUGGUGUUGGGAUGUUGUGGCCUUCACAGGGAAGGGACAGGGUGUCAGGUCACCAUUUCACAGAUGGUUGACCCGAUGCCGACUGUGACUGGCUCUUUUGGCUGCAAGUGACAGAAACCCAACUCAAACUUGUUCUGCAAGUAGAGACAUUUACUGAGUCUCAGAAUUGAAGGAAGGGAAAGGGUGUGUUUGGGUCCCAGAAAGGGUGUACCCUGGGGCUGGAAUCCUGUCCAGAUUCCACUCCCUCUUUAUGGAGGCUUAGCGCCUUAGAUGGGCUGUGUCCUCUGGCCCUGCACACACGGGCUUUCUAUUGGAAGCUGAGCAGGUCCACCGCUUCCGUUUACAAAUACAGUGACUGGCACACAAGCAUUCCUAUGCUUAUUGGGGAAUGUUGGGGGGCAGGGCCCUAGGACUGGCAACCCUCACUAAAACCCCAUGAGGGAAGGAGCUCCCCCAAAGGUGGUGCUGUUCCCAAAAAGGAAGGAAACAGCCAGUGCUCUCCACCCUGUCCCACCUGGCCAUUUUCCUCACAGAUGUCACCUGUCCUCCCAGGCCCAGCUGCUAAUUCUGCCUGACGCUUGGCCAAUUUGCCUGGUUAAAACCAGUGUAUUUCCAGGAGAUGGAUGACGUCACAGAACUGGAGUUCCAGAAGGCUGGGAUGGCCCAGCACUCCCUCCUUCUUUAGAACAUGGAGAGCUGUUAGUUGGGCAGGGCUGAAGCAUAUGUGGUGAGGAAGAAGAGGCUCCUACUGUAGACGGCCUUUUUCUACAGGUCCUCCCAGAAAUCCCCGGGCCAGCUGGAACCUGGAGUCAGAGAGGGAUGGGAGAGAGGUAAGCUGUGGAAGGGGUGGGAACAUACCUUCUGGAACCACUGUCUUCCUUGAGGGGACCC
rnacentral:lncRNA from 1 species